GCACAGCGCACUGGUAGGUAGAGAAAUGUAGAGGGAAAUUAGAAUAAAGCCCAAAAGUGUUUCUUGACUUUGUAAAUUAAGGUUGUGUAUUGGCCCCUGAAAGAGACUUCCUUGUGACAGCUGCAGAGCAGAGAGGAGGCCAGGGCAACACGGGUCUUUGGGCAGAAAGGAAGGCAGUUGAAGAGCAUGCAGUGCUCCAUGGCAUACCAGUAUUUUUAUCCAUCCUGAUUCAGAUAUGUGCUUCUUCUUAACUUGUGACUUGAGGUACCACUCAGAGUCCAUGCAGCAAACAGGUGGCGAAUUCAUAGAAAAGGAAGUCCUCAUGUGUCCAUACUGGCAGAUGAAGUGAGUUUGGUAAGAAAUCCAUGUCCAUUGCUGUGUACUACAUGCCUAGGUAAA